rnacentral:rRNA from 1 species
CGGGAUAUUAUGUAAAGCUAAUGGUGGAUGCCUUGGUAACUUGAGCCGAAGAAGGACGGGUGCUCGAGCCCGAUAUCGUCGAUAAGACCUCAUGCAGUCAUUAUAGUCGGCGGUUUCCGAAUGGGACAACCCAGCUUGUAGUAAUACAAGUUACCUACUCGCUUAUGUGUGGUAGGAGGGAACCCGGUGAACUGAAACAUCUUAGUAGCCGGAGGAAUAUAAAUCAAUAGAGAUUCCGUGAGUAGCGGUGAGCGAAAGCGGAUCAGUCUAAACCAUACCUUCGGGUGUGGGGUUGCGGGACGUGCAACGUGGGAUCAUAACAUGUUAGGAAAAUGAUUUGGAAAAGUCAGCCAUAGAGGGUGAUAGCCCUGUAUCCGAAAAUGUGUUGUGCCCUAGCGCGAUUCCCAAGUAACACGGGACACGGAAAACCCUGUGCGAAUCCGGGGCGGUCAUGCUCCAAGACUAAAUACUCAAGUUAACCGAUAGUGAACAAGUACCGCGAGGGAAAGGUUAAAAGAACCCCGGUUAGGGGAGUGAAAUAGAACCUGAAACCAUUAGCUAACAAACCGACACAGCCUUGAAUUUAUUCAGGGUGAUGUCGUGCCUAUUGAAGAAUGAGCCAACGAGUUUUCAAUAUCUGCGUUAGGUUAACCAAUUUUAAUUGGGCAGCCAUAGCGAAAGCGAUCUCGACUACGGUCGGGAGGGUCUGAAUAGGGCCUUGAGUAGAUACUGGAAGACCCGAAACCAGGUGAGCUAACCAUGAGCAGGGUGAACUCCGAGUAAUAUCGGAGGGAGGCCCGAACCCGUUGUCGGUGAAAUGACUUGGGAUGACUUGUGGUUAGUGGUAAAAUGCCUAUCGUACCUGGAAAUAGCUGGUUCUCCCCGAGAUAUAUUUAGGUAUAGCCUCAUAGAGUAGCUGUAGGGGUAGAGCGACUGACUAGAUCAAGAAGGCUCUGCUGACUUGAUUUAAUCAAACUCCGAAUACUACAGUGUAAAUCUAUGGGAGUCAGACUUGCUCGGAUAAGCGAGUGUGGUCGAAAGGGAAACAACCCAGACUCCCAUCUAAGGCCUCCAAAUAGUCGUUAAGUGGUUAAGGAAGUGAGAUCUCAAAGACAGACGGGAGGUUGGCUUAGAAGCAGCCAUCCUUUAAAGAUAGCGUAACAGCUCACCGUAAUAUAUCCCGAUUCGUCGGGGUAUGAGAUUUUGCGCCAAAAAUGAUCGAGGCUCAAACGACUUGCCGAAGAUGGAGCUUUCGUCAGACUUAGUCUGAAGGAGGGGUAGGGGAGCAUUCUAUUUGCAGUGAAGGUGUGCUGUAAGGCAUGCUGGAGCGGAUAGAAGUGAGAAUGUUGGCAUAAGUAACGAAUCUUAUGGUGAAAAUCCAUAAUUCCGUAUAUCCAAGGUUUCCUCAGCAACGUACAUCGGCUGAGGGUUAGUCGGAUCUAAGGGCGAACCCGAAAGGGUAGUCUCGAUGUACAAGCCGUUAAUAUUCGGCUACCACAUAAUACGCGUUAUUAUGUAUGCAGUGACGAAAUAAGCUAAUCAGGGCCUUCUAUAUGAGGGUUUAAGCAGUAAGUCUUCGGGCGAGCUGUGAAUACAAUCUUACGCAAGUAGGAAAGUCUGCCGACGUUUGUUUCCGGGAAAAGCUGUAUGCAGAGUUUAUUAUGUGUCCGUACCGCAAACCGACACAGGUGGAUUGGUAGAGAAUACUAAGGAAUUCGAGUAAUGGUAGUUUAAGGAACUCGGCAAACAAUCUAGACGUAACUUCGGGAUAUGUCUUCCCUUUAUAGCGAUAUAAAGGGCGCAGCUAAUGACUUUCAUCUGACUGUUUAGCAAAAACAUAGCUCCCUGCAAACCGGAAACGGGAAGUAUAGGGGGUGAUGCCUGUCCAGUGCCGGUAAGUCAAGAAUUUGGGUUGGCUCCGUUUAUUUAUAUUCGGAAGAGGCUCGGAUUCAAGCUCCGGUGAACGACAGCGGUAACUCUGACCGUUCUAAGGUAGCGUAGUCCCUUGUCGGGUAAGUUCCGACCUGCAUGAAUGGCUUAACAAGAUGAAAACUGUCUUAAACUAUUGCUCGGUGAAAUUGCAGUGGCCGUGAAGAUGCGGCCUUCCUGCACCAGGACAAAAAGACCCCGGGAGCUUUACUGAAACUUAUCAUUGAUAAAAGGUUAACAACUGUUUAGUGUAGGAGGGAGACUUCGGUCGCCAAUGAAACACCUCUCUUUGUUAAUUUUGCGUCUGACCCCGCGAGAGCGAGGGACAGUGUUAGGUGGUCAGUUUAACUGGGGCGGUUUCCUCCAAAAGCGUAACGGAGGAGCGCAAAGGUUGGCUUAUUCCGGAUGGAAAUCGGAAUGUAUGUGUAAACGCAUAAGCCAGCUUGACUGUGAGGGAGACAACCCGAUCAGAUUCGAAAGAAGGCGUUAGUGAUCCCCCGAUCGGUAAUGAUUGCCGGCGGGGCUUAACGGAUAAAAGCUACCCCGGGGAUAACAGGCUAGUCUCUCCUGAGCGUUCAUAGCGACGGGGAGGUUCGGCACCUUAACGUCGACAGAAAGGGGUGCCUACGACGGUAACGUCGUACAAAAACUAGUGGCUUAUAACGGUGAACUCCAUAAGAGCCUUAUGCUACAAUGCAUAACAAUAAAUUAUGGACAAUACCGUGGGAAGUCUAUCUCAAGUUCAAAUGUCUGUUGUCAUAGGGUCUUUGUUAGGUGAUGGCUAUGUUAGGAAAAUUAAGAAUAGAAGUAAUGCUUUUUUAGAAGUCAAUCAUUCUCUUUCACAAAAGGAGUAUGUUGACUGGAAGUAUGAAGUACUCAAACCAUUUGUGGGAGGAGUGCCUAAAACUCGAAAAGGUAAUGGUGAGCGAGUAGCUUAUCGUUUUUAUUCAAAACAACAUCCAACUUUUUCUGAACUUAGAAAUAAGUUCUACAAAGAUGGGAGGAAAAUUAUUCCUGAUAUUCAGCUUGAUCCAAUAAGUUUAGCUGUAUGGUAUAUGGAUGAUGGCAGUAAAUGCCGUUCAUCAGAUGUAUACCUUAAUACACAGCAGUUUGAUUAUUCGAGUCAACUUACCUUAAUUGGUAUGUUGAACAAACUUGGAUUACAAGCAAACUUAAACAAAGAUAAACAUUACUUCAGGAUUCGAUUUUUAAAAUCGAGUCUCGGUAAUUUUAAAAACCUUGUAGACAACUUUAUUAUAUCCUCAAUGAGGUAUAAGCUUGAUAUAUGACCCCGUAGAGACUUUUCUCGAAAGAGAAAGAGUUCAAAAGUAAUUUUGAGCUAACACGCCACCUCCUACUCAGACAAGUAGGAUGAAGAUAUAGUCCAUUCCAAUAGUAAUAUUGGGUAAUAUGCGAUGUCGGCUCAUCACAUCCUGGGGCUGUAGCAGGUCCCAAGGGUUGGUCUGUUCGCCCAUUAAAGUGGUACGCGAGCUGGGUUCAGAGCGUCGUGAGACAGCUCGGACUCUAUCCGGUGCAGGCGAUUGGAUUCUUGAGAAGACUCGCUUCUAGUACGAGAGGACCGAAGCGAGGGAAUCCCUGGUGUACCAGUUGUUUCAAAAGAGCAUCGCUGGGUAGCUAGAUUCCUAUGAGAUAAGAACUGAAAGCAUCUAAAGUUCGAAGCUCACUUCAAGAUGAGGAAUCCCUAUAGUCCCCCGAGAGAUUAUCGGGUUGAUAGGCGUACGGUGUAAGUCAAGUAAUUGAUUAAGCCCAUACGUACUAAUGGACGAAUAAUAUCCCGCA